CUUUGGGGUCACCCAUGGGGUCCCCCACCCCGUUGGGUCCCCCUCCCCCUUUUAGGGUCACCCCGCUCACCCUUUUUCCCAGGGGUCCCGGGGGGCCGUUUUCUCCCGUCGGACCCGGAGAGCCCUAAAAAGAAAAAGGGGGGAACUGUUAUGGGGUCGGGGCACCUUAUGGGGUCACCAGACGGGGUCAUCAUAUGGGGUCAUCGUAUGGGGUCAUCAUAUGGGGUCAUGAUAUGGGGUCACCAUAUGGGGUCAUCAUAUGGGGUCACCUUAUGGGGUCAUUGGGAUCAGGUCAUCAUAUGGGGUCACAGCUAUGGGGUCACAGCUAUGGGGUCACCAUAUGGGGUCACUGGGAUGGAGUCAUCAGCUAUGGGGUCACCAUAUGGGGUCAUCGGGAUUGGGGUCACCAUGUGGGGUCACCUUAUGGGGUCACCAUAUGGGGUCACAUCAUAUGGAGUCAUCAUAUGGGGUCAUCAUACGGGGUCAUCGUAUGGGGUCAUCAUAUGGGGUCAAUGGGAUGGGGUCACCAUAUGGGGUCACUUUAUGGGGUCACCUUACGGGGUCAUUGGGAUUGGGGUCACAGCUAUGGGGUGACUGGGAUGGGGUCACCAUAUGGGGUCAUCAUAUGGGGUCACCAUAUAGGGUCAACAUGUGGGGUCAUUGGGGUGGGGUCACCAUAUGGGGUCACCUUAUGGGGUCACCUUAUGGGGUCAUCAUAUGGGGUCACCAUAUGGGGUCAUUGGGAUUGGGGUUACAGCUAUGGGGUCACCAUAUGGGGUCAUCACACGGAAUCAACUUAUGGGGUCAUUGGGAUGGGGUCACCAUAUGGGGUCACUGGGAUGGGGUCACAGCUAUGGGGUCACCAUAUGGGGUCACUGGGAUGGAGUCGUCAGCUAUGGGGUCACCAUAUGGGGUCAUCGGGAUUGGGGUCACCAUGUGGGGUCACCAUAUGGGGUCAUUGGGAUGGGGUCACCAUACGGGGUCACCAUAUGGGGUCAUCGGGAUUGGGGUCACCUUAUGGGGUCACUGUAUGGGGUCAUCAUCAUAUGGAGUCAUCAUAUGGGGUCACCAUAUGGGGUCACAUCAUAUGGAGUCAUCAUAUGGGGUCACCAUAUGGGGUCAUCGGGAUUGGGGUCAUCAUGUGGGGUCACUGGGAUGGGGUCAUCAUAUGGGGUCACCAUAUGGGGUCAUUGGGAUGGGGUCAC
rnacentral:lncRNA from 1 species